UGCAAGUCGUACGCGGUGUCCAGCAAGGGAUUAGUAGAGUGGCAAACGGGUGAGUAACACGUGGGUGACCUACCUUCGAGUGGGGGAUAACCUUCCGAAAGGAGGGCUAAUACCGCAUGACAUCCCAUGUUUGGAUACAUGGACAUCAAAGCCGGGGAUCGCAAGACCUGGCGCUUGAAGAGGGACCUGCGCCCGAUUAGCUAGUUGGUGGGGUAACGGCCCACCAAGGCUUCGAUCGGUAUCCGGCCUGAGAGGGCGGACGGACACACUGGAACUGAGACACGGUCCAGACUCCUACGGGAGGCAGCAGUGGGGAAUUGUUCGCAAUGGGCGCAAGCCUGACGACGCAACGCCGCGUGGAGGAUGAAGACUUUCGGGUCGUAAACUCCUUUCGACCGAGAUGAAUAGUUCACGACUUAACACGUUGUGGAUCUGACAGUAUCGAGGGAAGAAGCCCCGGCUAACUCCGUGCCAGCAGCUGCGGUAAUAUGGGGGGGGCAAGCGUUGUUCGGAAUUACUGGGCGUAAAGGGUCCGUAGGUGGCCAACUAAGUCAGACGUGAAAUCCCUCAGCUUAACUGGGGAACUGCGUCUGAUACUGGUCGGCUUGAGUGCAGGAGAGGAACGCGGAAUUCCAGGUGUAGCGGUGAAAUGCGUAGAUAUCUGGAGGAACACCGGUGGCGAAGGCGGCGUUCUGGACUGCAACUGACACUGAACGACGAAAAGCCAGGGGAGCAAACGGGGAUUAGAUACCCCCGGUAGUUCCUGGCCCUAAACGAAUGAAUGCUUGGUGUGGCGGGUAUCGAUCCCUUGCCGUGCCGUAGUUAACCGCGAUAAGCAUUCCGCCUGGGGAGUAUGGUCGCAAGGCUG
rnacentral:rRNA from 1 species